rnacentral:rRNA from 1 species
GACGAACGCUGGCGGCGUGCUUAACACAUGCAAGUCGAACGGAAGGGCCCUGCUUUUGUGGGGUGCUCGAGUGGCGAACGGGUGAGUAACACGUGAGUAACCUGCCCUUGACUUUGGGAUAACUUCAGGAAACUGGGGCUAAUACCGGAUAGGAGCUCCUGCUGCAUGGUGGGGGUUGGAAAGUUUCGGCGGUUGGGGAUGGACUCGCGGCUUAUCAGCUUGUGGGUGGGGUAGUGGCUUACCAAGGCUUUGACGGGUAGCCGGCCUGAGAGGGUGACCGGCCACAUUGGGACUGAGAUACGGCCCAGACUCCUACGGGAGGCAGCAGUGGGGAAUAUUGCACAAUGGGCGGAAGCCUGAUGCAGCAACGCAGCGUGCGGGAUGACGGCCUUCGGGUUGUAAGCCGCUUUCGCCUGUGACGAAGCGUGAGUGACGGUAAUGGGUAAAGAAGCACCGGCUAACUACGUG